rnacentral:rRNA from 1 species
UGGGGAAUAUUGGACAAUGGGCGCAAGCCUGAUCCAGCAAUGCCGCGUGGGUGAAAAAGGUCUUCGGAUUGUAAAGCCCUUUCGGCGGGGACGAUGAUGACGGUACCCGCAGAAGAAGCCCCGGCUAACUUCGUGCCAGCAGCCGCGGUAAUACGAAGGGGGCUAGCGUUGCUCGGAAUGACUGGGCGUAAAGGGCGCGUAGGCGGAUUGUACAGUCAGGCGUGAAAUUCCUGGGCUUAACCUGGGGGCUGCGUUUGAUACGUAUGGUCUCGAGUUCGGAAGAGGGUCGUGGAAUUCCCAGUGUAGAGGUGAAAUUCGUAGAUAUUGGGAAGAACACCGGUGGCGAAGGCGGCGACCUGGUCCGAUACUGACGCUGAGGCGCGAAAGCGUGGGGAGCAAACAGGAUUAGAUACCCUGGUAGUCCACGCUGUAAACGAUGUGCGCUGGAUGUUGGGCGACCUAGUCGCUCAGUGUCGCAGCUAACGCGAUAAGCGCACCGCCUGGGGAGUACGGCCGC